rnacentral:rRNA from 1 species
UACGUAGGGUGCAAGCGUUGUCCGGAAUUAUUGGGCGUAAAGAGCUCGUAGGCGGUUCGUCGCGUCGGCUGUGAAAACCCGGAGCUCAACUCCGGGCCUGCAGUCGAUACGGGCGGACUUGAGUGUUGCAGGGGAGACUGGAAUUCCUGGUGUAGCGGUGAAAUGCGCAGAUAUCAGGAGGAACACCGGUGGCGAAGGCGGGUCUCUGGGCCGAAACUGACGCUGAGGAGCGAAAGCGUGGGGAGCAAACAGG